GUGCUCUCUUCGGCAGCACAUACACCAAAACUGGAAUGAUACAGAGAGGUUAUUAGCAUGGCCCCUGUGCAAGGAUGAUGCACCAUUUAUGAAGCAUUUCAUAUUUUU
rnacentral:snRNA from 1 species